rnacentral:piRNA from 1 species
UACAAUUCUGUCUAGCUGGGCCCUCACC